GCUGCCGUAGCUCAGUGGUAGAGCACUCCCUUGGUAAGGGAGAGGUCGGGAGUUCAAUCCUCCCCGGCAGCACCA
rnacentral:tRNA from 1 species